rnacentral:lncRNA from 1 species
GAAACGUUGCAGUUUCAUAUUUUGGACAUAUCUCCUAACUCAAAAGUCCGAUUGAUGCAAGGUUAGCGACGUUGGAAAGCCCUUUCAGUUUCCUAAAACUUUGAUGACGGAGUUAUGUAAAUAUUUUCGCUAUAAACGGUCAAACAUUGCGCUAUGUAUAAAGCGCCAUUUUUGACAUCUUCAUAGCGCCAAUUUUGACAGUCCAUUUUGACAAUUUCUGAAAUCGUUGGGCUGUGGAUGGUCAAACGUUGUGCUAUGACCAUAGCGUCAUGUUUGACAUCUUCAUAGCGCCAAUUUUGACAAAUCUUAGAUUUGAAAGAUUUUUUGGGAUUUCUAUUUAAAGUCGGUUUCUCCUCCAUUCAAAGACAGACUUCCUUGAACGAAAUUGAGAGCAAUAUUCAGAGAUUGGAGAGCAUCAUAAAGACAACUUCAAGGAGCUCGGUAUCGGAGAAGAAAUCAAGACGGAGAAUCAAGUUCUCGGGAAGAUCGGCGAAAUUAGGUUUUUCAUUAUUCUUUGUGUAAACCUAGAAUCAAUGUCUUCCUCUUCUGAUUUUGAUUUGUCCCUCGAGAUUAUGAUCAUCUAAACUUCUCUUGUUUAGAUUAGAUGAACCCUACGUUAAUUGUUAUGAAAUAAUGAUUUGACGACUUUUGUCGAUUUAUGCGAGUUGGAUGGAUUUCAGUAUAUGUUUGAUUUUGUUUUCGAUCUGUUCUUGCGUGAUCAACUUGAAUGACUCUUUGUUAGAUUUAUCUUAGCCUUGCAAGAGCUUGCAUAUCUUGAACGCCGAAAUCGAACAACUAGGUUAGACGUUAACCCUCAUCUGGGAGCGAAUGAAGUAGUAUGUCGUGUGAGCAAUUCUUAUUCGAUUAAUCGGCUAGCGGGUUUCAGAUCUUUGUCUCAAAAGAGUGGACUACGAUACUAGAUAGGUAACAAAUUAGCGGUCCCGAAAAGGCGUGAUUUGAUUUGAGAAGAAUUGC